AAUCAACGCUGGCGGCGUGCCUCAGACAUGCAAGUCGAACGCGAAAGUUCCCUUCGGGGGGCGAGUAGAGUGGCGCACGGGUGAGUAACACGUAGGUAAUCUACCUUUGGGUGGGGAAGUAACAGCCGGAAACGGCUGCUAAUACCGCAUAAUGCAGCGGCUCGACAUCGAGACAGUUGUUAAAGCGGGGGAUCNCAAGACCUCGCACCUAAAGAGGAGCCUGCGGCGGAUUAGCUUGUUGGUGAGGUAAUGGCUCACCAAGGCAUCGAUCCGUAGCCGGCCUGAGAGGGCGGUCGGCCACACUGACACUGACAUACGGGUCAGACUCCUACGGGAGGCAGCAGUCGGGAAUUUUUGGGCAAUGGGCGCAAGCCUGACCCAGCAACGCCGCGUGAAGGAUGAAAUCCCUCGGGAUGUAAACUUCGCAAGAACA
rnacentral:rRNA from 1 species